rnacentral:miRNA from 1 species
UUUAAUGUAGAAAACCCAAUGG